CAGUUCGUGAGGACGAAUCUGAAGGAAGUGUGGUGAGCAAUAUUCCUACGCGAGGAACACGAAUCAUAUCAGGUACAGAGUGAGGGGUGUUUCUGUUAAACAAGAUAAUGCCAAAUAAACUGCAAGGAUACAUCAGUGUAAAUGUGACGAUACGCUGAAGGAGGACCUAGGC
rfam:Clostridium phytofermentans ISDg, complete genome.